rnacentral:rRNA from 1 species
GAUGAACGCUGGCGGCGUGCCUAAUACAUGCAAGUCGAGCGAACGGACGAGAAGCUUGCUUCUUUGAUGUUAGCGGAGGACGGGUGAGUAACACGUGGAUAACCUACUUAUAAGACUGGGAUAACCUCGGAAAACCGGAGCUAAUACCGGAUAAUCUUUUGAACCGCAUGGUUCAAUGGUGAAAGACGGUCUUGCUGUCACUUAUAGAUGCAUCCGGGCUGUAUUAGCUAGUUGGUCAGGUCACGGCCUACCAAGGCAACGAUGCAUAGCCGAACUGAGAGGGUGAUAGCCGACACUGGAGCGUGGACGGGGACAAGACUCCUGCGAGAGGGCGCAGUAGGCAAUCUGCCGCAAUAGUCGAAAGCCUGACGGAGCAAGGGCGCGCGAGAUAUGAAGGUCUCCGGAGCGUAAAACUCUGUUAUGAGGUAAGAACAUAUGUGGAAGUAGCUGUGCAGAUAGUGACGGUACCUAAUCAGAAAGCCACGGCUAACUACGUG